AACGAACGCUGGCGGCAGGCUUAACACAUGCAAGUCGAGCGCCCCGCAAGGGGAGCGGCAGACGGGUGAGUAACGCGUGGGAAUCUACCCAUCUCUACGGAAUAACGCAUGGAAACGUGUGCUAAUACCGUAUACGUCCUUCGGGAGAAAGAUUUAUCGGAGAUGGAUGAGCCCGCGUUGGAUUAGCUAGUUGGUGGGGUAAAGGCCUACCAAGGCGACGAUCCAUAGCUGGUCUGAGAGGAUGAUCAGCCACACUGGGACUGAGACACGGCCCAGACUCCUACGGGAGGCAGCAGUGGGGAAUUUUGGACAAUGGGCGCAAGCCUGAUCCAGCCAUGCCGCGUGAGUGAAGAAGGUCUUCGGAUUGUAAAGCUCUUUUGCCAGGGACGAUAAUGACGGUACCUGGAGAAUAAGCCCCGGCAAACUUCGUGCCAGCCGCCGCCGUAAGAC
rnacentral:rRNA from 1 species